rnacentral:misc_RNA from 1 species
AGGAGAGAAAAUUCAGCGAAGUGAAAUUUCUGAAAUUAAAAAUAUAGGAUUAUUUAAUUAUUUUAAAAUGCUCCAAAAAUAUAUAUAUAUUUUCACUUCACUCCCCAUUCAAUGUGAGGAGAUGCCCACUAUAUAUUGAUCAGGAAAAUUUAUGAAUAAUAAUGCCAAAAUUAAAAAAUUUCAAGGAUCUGAUGAGUCGAAAUAAAAUGUUAUGAUAACAUCAAA